rnacentral:rRNA from 1 species
UACGUAGGGUGCAAGCGUUAAUCGGAAUUACUGGGCGUAAAGCGUGCGCAGGCGGUUAUGUAAGACAGGUGUGAAAUCCCCGGGCUUAACCUGGGAACUGCAUUUGUGACUGCAUAGCUAGAGUACGGUAGAGGGGGAUGGAAUUCCGCGUGUAGCAGUGAAAUGCGUAGAUAUGCGGAGGAACACCGAUGGCGAAGGCAAUCCCCUGGGCCUGCACUGACGCUCAUGCACGAAAGCGUGGGGAGCGAAACAAGGAUUGAGAAACC